rnacentral:lncRNA from 1 species
UACGUUCAUUCCUGCUUCAGCCAGCUUCCAAAUCAUCUCCCUCGUGUUUGUUGAUGGACCUAUGGUGCAUACAAUCUUUGUCUUCCGUCUAACUACAGGCUUGGACCACAUACUCACUGAUGUGUCGCCUAAUUGCUGUAAAUGCAAUACCUGCUCCUCUCUCUGAUAAUAAAACAGAACUCAGUUAACAAUUCCCAAUCACCAAAAAACAAUCUAAUAUUGUAAUAGAGGAUCUAAUUACUUGGCCACAUAAGCAAUUUGAUCAAUCAAAAUUAACUUCAGCACAGCGUUUCUUCGGUUACCAGAUCUCAAAUUACAUUACAGUUACGGACCUGCGGUACAUCCUCAGGCGAUACAGGAAUAACUUCAGUUUCGACACGUGUGGAUCUGUUAGCAGCUUGGAUUUGAGUGUUUCUGCGAGAAAUUGUAAGGCUGCUGUUCUUAUUU